AAACUUUAUGCUCGAGAACCAAUGGGUUUCGAUUUCCUUAGCGCAUGCGAAACAUCGUCCCGAGCCACAUUGCAGAAAAUAUUUUUAAUAUCUAAUUUGUUUUAAAAGAAUAUAUAGUAAAACGAAAGUAGGGUACGUUAAAAUGUACGUAGCUCUACUUUAUUUUUAUCAGGAUUUAUAGGCAGAAGGAAAUAGUACAGCUUAAAGCUAUAAUCAUAUAUCAUCAUCUAAUGAGAAAUAUAACAAAAAUAUUUGAUUCAACAUACUCAGGCCAGUUUCGUGUACAAUGAUUUUCUUUUCAGUAAAAUCUUCAUUCAGUUGUAUCAUAUGAUUAUAUAAAUAGCAAUUCUUGUAAUUAAUAAAUAGUAAUGCUACAACACACUUUAAUAUUGCCUAUAGCAGUGGCAAAAAGAACCUCGUUAAACUGUUCAUCGGUGACAAUACAACAUUUAUUAUCGUUUAGUUCUAUAAUUACUCCUAAUACUAAUGUAGAUAUUUCCAAAUAUAAGAAUACAAGUCAAAAAGUUUCAAAAGAAGAUAAUACUUCAACAGCAAUAUCGGCUUACAAAUAUAUAAAGGCUACUGUAUUAAAAAAUUUAAAAGUCGAUCAAGACGAUGCGAUUGAUC